rnacentral:rRNA from 1 species
ACUCAAAUGAAUUGACGGGGACCCGCACAAGCGGUGGAACAUGUGGUUUAAUUCGACGGUAAGCGAGGAACCUCACCAAGGUUUGACAUGUAGCUGCAAGGUCCUGAAAGGGAUCCGCCUUCGAGGGUGCUACACAGGUGCUGCAUGGUUGUCGUCAGCUCGUGCCGUGAGGUGUACCCUUAAGUGGGGUAACGAGCGCAACCCCUAUGUUGUGUUGUUGUUUCACAACAGACUGCCUCGGCUAACGGGGAGGAAGGCGGGGAUGACGUCAAAUCAGCAUGGCUCUUACACCUUGGGCGACACACGUGUUACAAUGGACAGCACAACGGGCCGCCAAAGCGAAAGCUGGAGCUAAUCCCAUCAAAACUGUCCUCAGUUCGGAUCGAGGUCUGCAACUCGACCUCGUGAAGCCGGAAUCGCUAGUAAACGUGCAUCAGCCACGGCGCGUUGAAUACGUUCUCGGGUCUUGUACACACCGCCCGU